ACACUGUUUCAGCUCUCUUCUUCACUGUUGAAUUUUUUUCUUCAAAAACUUCUCUAUUUCGAGCUUUUCAGAAUUCCAAGCAAACUACCACAAAUUCGAGCAAGCUCGCGACGCCGUCCUGGUUACUGGUAGUGACCCGUAGCCACCACGGCGCAAAAUCAGGAGACCCAUUUCGAGCAAUAAUUCCAAUAGUAAAGAGGGAGUUCUAGACCGCUACAGCAGGGCCACAACGAUGGAGACAGUGAAUGAUUAUUUCAUUUUUCAGUUUGCAUCUUGAACAUGGGGGCGAGGUAUAAAUCUGCAGUGGAUAAGAUUUAACACAGGAUUUGAAUGCGCAAUUUCGAGGAUGGUUCCUAAUUUGUAGCCUUUGCCGAAUCUUCACGCGGUUUCAUGUAUUUUAAUUAGAAAAACAAAAAAGAAGAAUCAUUUUCUAUGGGCUAUACUAUAUCCUGACAACACAACACUCAAACAAGGGAUUAAAUACAGAGAGUUUUUUGUUAGCUUGGUUUCAUUCUCAGGUUCUGUAACAAUUUCCUAAUGGCUGGAAUGCUUCCUGGAGUUGAAUGUGCUCGAAGGAGACGCUUGCAUAGUAACACAACCUCAAGCAGCGCUGUUGAAGAUAAUUAUUCAACAAGGCACUCUUUUUCUUUGUAUUACCCAACCAAUUUCGAAUCUCUUAUGUUAUCUUCAUCACUCCCCUCAAUUUCACUGAAGGAGAAUAAAAGAAUAGUGUUGAAGCAUGAAGAUCUAGAUGAGGAUAUGGGAGGAGCAGCCAGAGAAGCUAAACAAAAAUUGGAUAACAAGUUUAGAGAACAACAAAAACUAAAAACCCCAAAGAAUAAGAGAAAGAGACCCUUUUGGUGGUUCCUUGUAGCUUAUGCCCCCUGCAAACUCCAAAAUACCUCUUCUAUCUUACAACCCAAUCACUAAUCACCACGUACCAGACUAUACCUCCAGUCACUUUUAUAUUUUUGAAACCUUUAUAUACAACUGUUUUUAUUUUCCAUAUAUAGAUUUUUUUUAUAUAGCAUCAACUUUUUUUUUUGGUUAUUUUCUUUCACAAGUAUACUAGAUAAAUAUUCUAGUAUGUAUUUGUCUUUGCUCAGUUGUGUAUACAGAGUUUUGUCAAUUAGAAGAGUUGAUCAUGAAACUUUUAUUGAA